UUACAGGGUGGGACAGUAAAAAGCAAUUUUAAAACGCGUUCAGGGGAAACAGUACUGCAGAUGGAGAAAAGAAUGCAUCAGAGAAUUCUUGUCUUGACCCUCCUUAUUUCUUUAGGACAUGGUAUUGAAGACCGUGUUUGGCAGCCUGAAAGUAAAGUGCAGGUUCUUCAAAAACAAGAGGCUGAAAUCAAGUGCAACUUUGAAGCAAGAGAUACUGCUAAUGCUUACCUCUUCUGGUAUAUUCAGACACCAAACGGCGUUCCUCGGCAUUUAAUGACAAGGACACCUACUUACAGCAUCAAUGAAGAAGGUUUCAAAGAAAGAUUUAAUGCAACACUCAACCGGGAGAACAAAACAGUCCACCUGAAAAUUUCAUCUUCUAAGCUGUCCGACUCUGCAAUUUAUUUCUGCGCAUUGCAGCCCACAGUAAGGGAAAGGAAGCCGAGAACAUUACACAAACUCAUGUGACAGAAAAACUGUCAUAGAAAUAACAACUUUUAAGUCCAAAUUUUAAC